AUUUUCGAUUAUUUAAGAUUUGGUUUUCAAUAUUUUUCUCGAUUGAAUUGGCUGUAUCGGUAAUCGCACUGACAUUUGCAUUGUAUCUCGCAGUAAAUUUUUCAAGCUUAUCGCAAGUUAUAAACGGUCUUCCCGUCUUCUUUUUCAUUUGGAUGGGCUUGCUGAUAAGAUGCUUAAUCGGAGAAAUUUUUCCAAAUCUGAACGAAAGGCUUGCAGAAUCUCUUUUCUGGCAUGGAUCAUGGCUCAGAGUAAACGAACAGAAUAGAAGACUACUGCAAAUGUUUCACUCGACAGCUCGCCAACCAUUACGUUUGUAUGGUUUAUCGGUUUUCGAAGCUACUCGAGUGACAUUUGGAAAAUUAGUUCGAACAACGUAUUCAUUUUUUAAUGUUUUGAAACGUAAUAACUAAGGCAUAUAUUAUCUCCACCAAAAUUUAAAAAGUCCGCAGGUUGAUCACUUUUUUGACUUCAGGUGUUGGCUAUAACAACAAAG